rnacentral:rRNA from 1 species
GAGGAAAGAGGGAGGCGUGCUUAACACAUGCAAGUCGAACGGAAAGGCCCUGCUUUUGUGGGGUGCUCGAGUGGCGAACGGGUGUGUAACACGUGAGUAACCUGCCCUUGACUUUGGGAUAACUUCAGGAAACUGGGGCUAAUACCGGAUAGGAGCUCCUGCUGCAUGGGGGGGGUUGGAAAGUUUCGGCGGUUGGGGAUGGACUCGCGGCUUAUCAGCUUGUUGGUGGGGGAGUGGCUUACCCAGGCAUUGACGGGUAGUCGGCCUGAGAGGGUGACCGGCGACAUUGGGACUGAGGUACGGCCCAGAGGGGUACGGGAGGCAGCAGUGGGGAAUAUUGCACAAUGGGCGGGAGCGUGAGGCAGCAACGCCGCGUUCGGGAUGACGGCCUUCGGGUGAUAAACCGCUUUCGCCUGUGACGAAGCGGGAGUGACGGUAAUGGGUAAAGAAGCACCGGCUAACUACGUG